AUUUUCAAUGACAUGAUGAACUAGGAAAUUUUUGCACAAGCGAAGUAAAACAGAUGGGGGGAAAAAGCUAAAGAAAGAGGUACUAGAACAAAUUUUGCUAAGAUAUCUACCGACUAAUACUAUUUACCACAUUUUAUAAAGAUAAGAUGGUUUCCUAAAGUCAGCAACUUUGUCACAUUGUCCCCAGUAAAUUGCUAUUGAAUCCCACUACUACUUUGCAAAAUGUACUAACUAUUUAUAUAAGAUGAACCUGUACCAAUUACCAAUAGCUGAUUUAUGUGGAUAGCUGAAGAUUUUUAGCAUGCAAAACCAAUUGAGUCUAAAAGAUCUUGGUCAUAACAAGCCUCGACACUAAUUAAGUCAAAAUCCAUUGUAUUGAUUUGUUCAGUUCUUUCAAUAACCUAUCUUGUUUGCCAUAUAUAUACGGGAUAGUAUUGCUAGAAAAAUGAACAUCAACCAAAAACAAGUAUGGGCAGACAUUAUGCUUAGGCAUGAAAGAGUGAUUUGGUAUUGAUGUCGAGCAUCUUCUAUAUCUAGAUGAUAAUGAGUACUUCUUGGAGCAGGAGGACAAAGCUAAGUACAGAUGAGUUGUACCAAGCUGGACAUGAUCAAUAUGCUCUCCAGUUUGAGGAACAUGGAUGCGCGGCACACAUGCAGACACAUAGAGCGGUAUGAUUCUCAGCUCACUGAAAUUGAGGUACCCUCAUUCAGACAAAAAGGACGAACUAUGGAGUGGGUAGAUACAGCCCAUAAACCAAAAAUAAAAGCAGUGACGCUAAACAUGUAGGACAAUUUGCUGUAUGAUGCUUAGACAACAGUA